CCCUCCUACGAAGACAGGUUGGUGGCUCCCUCACUUUGGACACCUAAGAACUGGAGGCCAAGAAACGUGGACCUGGACAAACCUGUGCCAGCUUGGUUCUUGUAGGCUAAAGAGCAAACAUCUAACACAG